UACGAAGGGGGCUAGCGUUGUUCGGAAUUACUGGGCGUAAAGCGCGUGUAGGCGGGUCUUUAAGUCAGGGGUGAAAUGCCGGAGCUCAACUUCGGAACUGCCUUUGAUACUGGAGAUCUUGAGUCCGGGAGAGGUGAGUGGAACUGCGAGUGUAGAGGUGAAAUUCGUAGAUAUUCGCAAGAACACCAGUGGCGAAGGCGGCUCACUGGCCCGGAACUGACGCUGAGACGCGAAAGCGUGGGGAGCAAACAGG
rnacentral:rRNA from 1 species